AACAAUUAGACUGACCACGUUAGGCCCAAAGCAGAAGUGCGCAAACAGGAUUAAAGAAAAAAAAUGAAAUUGUAGGCUAUGAAACUAAUACUGCGUGUUUUCAGAAACAAGGCUCUAGACUGUGACAUUAAUAUGCUGUAGCUAUAGUGAAAUGUUAUUUACAGACCAUUUGGCCUUGGAGAGCAAUUAUAUUUCAUUGUGAUCAUAACUUUGUUUAUAUAAUGCAAGCAGAUGUUCUAACAUGGAAUAAGGAAGAUAUUUUACAAAGAAAACUAAUUACACAAGAUGUACUGUUGUUCAGUAACUGAAGGGCUAAUCAUCUCUGAUGUUUAAGGAAAAAAAAAAGUGAUAUUCUCGUUUUAACUUGUCUUAAUGCCAGAAUAGACUCUUGUAAUCAUCUAGCUGACUGGUAUAACACAGGUCUUCAGACUUCCAAAAUGAAUGAUUCCAUAUCUCUCAGAAAUGUUCAUUUGUGAUUUCAACUUCUGCUGAAAUGGAAUUAUUAUUAGAGCUCUCAAAAUGAGAUUUUUAAAAAAAUAUUAAUCUAAAAGUAUAGUGCUUCAACACAGAGAAAAUACUGCUUUUUUUGUAUUAUAGCAUCUUAUGAAUAGUGGUGAAAAGGUGUGACUUUGAUUUAGAACAUCUGUGCAAGAUAGCAUGGAAUGGUUUGCUAGCCCUUAUAGAAAGGGGUAGGGUACAUGGGUAGUUACUUCCUCUAACCAAAAGGAAUUUUUGGCCAGACUUUGACAUAUAACCAGAAACUUAAGUUUUCUCCUAAGACAGCCUUAUGAAACAGAUACAUGUAGGGUAAGAAGCCAGCUGCAUACAGUUCACUAUUAGAGUUUUGGAAAAAUUAGAACAUGUCAGAGGGAGAGGAGUAGUGUUAAUUUUCUUUUAAGUAUGAGAAACAAAAUGAUGCUACCAUAUUGGUUUUCAGUAUAUUCUGAUUUGUAGAUACCCGUAAUUUUUGCAGAGCUGGAGUUGCCCGGAGUUGCCCGGAGUUGCCCGUAGUGCUAAUGGCAAUUAUCCUGAUUUUAGUUCCCUUUUGAAGAUGCCUUAGAAAUAAUCCAUUAGCCCUAUGUUAAUGGUUGAAGGCUACUAUUCUACUGUUUUCUUCACCGAUACCCCUUAGCUAAAAUUCUUUUUUAAAAUUAGGACAUGUAUCUACUUCUGCAAAGGCUUGCAUCUAUAAUAGAAUUGGGAUGCUUAUGUAAAGGUUUGGAAAGAUUGUUGGAAAAACCUUUCUUCUGCUCCUUUAGCAUUUCUCUAAAAAAAAAUUAAGCAUAAUGGAACAAAUUAUGGUAAAGAAAUCUUAAACAGUCUUUUUAUUCAUGCAUUUUUGGGGUUGCAGCAUAGGGUGCUUAUGUUUAUGCUUAUGGUCAGACUAAAGGAAAAACAAAAAAAGGCGAAAGCUCAGUUUACUGGAUUUCCUUCUUAAAGAUCUUCAAUUAAUUGUUGGGGGAAAAAAGAAACUAAUUUAGGGAGCAUUGCCCCAUUAGGGACCAGGGUUUUGUUUUUGUUAACUUGUUGGGAACCAGGAGACAGUUCAGUGACGGACUGGCUCUUACAUCUGUCCUGAACCAAGAGAGAGAGAUGUUGUUUUUUGGAUUUUGUGACCUCUGAAUAUCAUCAACAGCAGAUUGAACUAUUUUGACUCAGUGGCCAAGAAGUGAAAAGAGAGAUGUGGUACUUGAGAACAAUAGUUGUUUUACACCUAACAAAGGAAUUUUCAGGACACUUUGCAGCUUACAUUUAGCUUACGUUUUCGGGUUGAGUUUUCAUGUCUGAAGUGGAAGCUUUCCAGGGAUGGGAGUGUGGAUGUCCAAAGCUAGAAGACUGUGGUUCAAGAUCAAGAGGUUGAAAGUAGGAUUCCAGGGGAGCACAGGUCGGAGAGACUCAAAGGAAGCACCACCAGCUGUGAGGAUUCACCCAUGUGGCCUUGCAGAGAUACAGUGCUUAGACUUGUAAUUCAUAGGAUUCAGAAGAAUGGCUUAAAAUGUGUGCAAAAUCUGUUUGAGAGAAACAUGCUUGUAUGUACUAUGACCACAUGGGAUCCCACUUCACACGGGAUUUUCUGAAAGAUCCAGUGAGCUCUGAAACUUUCUAGUGCAGUGACCACUAGCUGUUAAUGUUUUGUAGUUUAAUUAGCUGAUCAUAAAGGAGCAUCUCUGAACCAGUGUUAACGUCUUUGUGGGAAGAUGUUCUCAAACCUUCAUCUCACUUUAUUAAGUUUAUUAUUAUUUAAGUUUAUUAAAAAGCAUCCUGAAAGUUACCUCUCUUCCUAUCCCUUCUUGACCAGGUGCUGAUAAAAUACAGCUUAAGUUUUACUGACUCUGAAAAUGAAUGUGGAACCCUACAUCAGUACCUCGUCCACUUUGAAAUAGCUUCGCUAAUUCUUAGUGACUUUGAAUUAUGAUCUGAUU